rnacentral:lncRNA from 1 species
UCGAAUACAUAAUUGUCUGCUUAUUCACCUUAGUAUUUUAAUUUUUUUUAUUUGUAAUAUAUCCAUUUUCAAGUUUUGGUUCUCCAAUUUUGUUUUGCUUUAAAAUGGUCCUAUUGAUUGUUUUUUUCUUUUUCAUUUUAGUUGUUAUUUUGUUUCCUUCUUAUAAAAUAUAUUUAUUUAUAUAUUUUAGUCUUGUUUUCCGAAUUUUUG